rnacentral:misc_RNA from 1 species
UCCGGUUUGGCACCGGCAGUCCCCCGAGAGUCCUCAGCUUUACCUGCUAGCAACACGGGGCGAGGGUUGCGCUCGUUGCGGGACUUAACCCAACAUCUCACGACACGAGCUGACGACAGCCAUGCAGCACCUGUGUUCCCGCCAGCCGAACUGAAGGGCUCCAUCUCUGGUGCCCAUACGGGACAUGUCAAAGGUUGGUAAGGUUCUUCGCGUUGCGUCGAAUUAAACCACAUGCUCCACCGCUUGUGCGGGCCCCCGUCAAUUCCUUUGAGUUUCAACCUUGCGGUCGUACUCCCCAGGCGGGGCACUUACUGCGUUAGCGACGGCACCGGGAGGGUCGCUCCCCCCGACGCCUAGUGCCCAUCGUUUACGGCGUGGACUAC